AUUGAACGCUGGCGGCAGGCUUAACACAUGCAAGUCGAGCGGGGAAGAGUAGCUUGCUACUUAACCUAGCUGCGGACGGGUGAGUAAUGCUUAGGAAUCUGCCUAUUAGUGGGGGACAACAUCUCGAAAGGCAUGCUAAUACCGCAUACGUCCUACGGGAGAAAGCAGUGGAUCACUUGUGACCUUGCGCUAAUAUAUGAGCCUAAGUCGGAUUAGCUAGUUGGGGGGGUAAAGGCCUACAAAGGCGACGAUCUGUAGCGGGUCUGAGAGGAUGAGCCGCCACACUGGGACUGAGACACGGCCCAGACUCCUACGGGAGGCAGCAGUGGGGAAUAUUGGACAAUGGGGGGAACCCUGAUCCAGCCAUGCCGCGUGUGUGAAGAAGGCCUUAUGGUUGUAAAGCACUUUAAGCGAGGAGGAGGCUCUUUUGGUUAAUACCCAAGAUGAGUGGACGUUACUCGCAGAAUAAGCACCGGCUAACUCUGUGCCAGCCGCCGCAGUAA
rnacentral:rRNA from 1 species